CAUUGCUCAGUCACAACUGGAUCUGAUACCCUUAACAACAGUAUGGAAGAUUUUGUACAAACUUUGGCAUUUUCCCCCCCCCCUAUAGAAUAAAUCACAUUCAGUGAUUGACUGCAUUCAGCAGACUCAAGAGGAGUAUUUUUCUCCUAAACUCUAUGGGAGCACUAUUUUGGAAUAUGUUGAGUACAGCGACAUCACAUUUAAUAGUCAACUUCAUUUAUGCUACUUUCAUGUUGUGAUAACAGAUUAAAGAUGGCUGUGCUCAUACAAAAUGUGAAGUAUAAAUUAUUUAAUAAUAUGAAAGUAUGCUUUAUAAUUAAUGUUAAUCCUCACAUACCUAUCAGCAACUGAAAACAGAUAUAUGCAAAAUAUAAAUUUAAGGAUAAAUUUUAUUUACUCAAAUGAUUUUAAGUUGUGGAAAUAAGCAGAAGCCAAUCUAGCACCACUAACUACUUUCAGCAGCUGAUAAUUUGUCAUUCAGCAGAUUUAUUGCUGUUACAUAGAAGUUACUGCUACCAUACCUCCAUUCAAAAUAGAACUGUUGAAUCUGCUGAACAUAGCCAUUGCUUCCUUGUGAUACAGAAACUCAGCUGACAUUUUUCUCUGGUAUUUCUUGCUUGAAUGGAGAUGAAUAAUGUCCUUGGAAGAUCUUGUAAAGCAAUGAGGCUCAUUUCUUUCUGAACAGUAAUCCAGAAUAACACCUCACAUAAGACAAAUUAAUGCAGACCAGUUACAUUUUGUUAUGGAGAAUGUCAUUCAAUAUAUAUUUUUAUAAAAAUUCUAGAAAAAUGUAUAAGUGGAAGAAGUGGAAGAUACAUUGAACCAUAUCUAUAAUCUGUACUAAAAUAAAAACUAUUUAAUCACAUUUAACACUUAAUGCUUUUACUAAUCAUUCCACUUUUAUGGAUAAUAGCCUUAUCCAUAUUCUUUGGUGACAAAAAAAUUGAACUUAAAAACUUUUCCUGCAUAUUAUCAGCCCAUAUUUAAAAGAAUAUUCAUACAAAAUGUGGUUAAGUUUUGCCUGACAUAUGUUUGAUAUGGGACUAAACAUCUCUUUAAUUGUAAUCAUUAUGUAUAUCAUUUUCAGAAAAUUUUAUUAAAAAUCAAUAUUAUGAAAUUUUUAAUUUAUCAUCAUUAAUCUAUUAAUAAUAAUGUAGAUUAUUACAUAAACCACAAUCUACAUUUGAUCCGCAUCUCAAUAACGUCCAUUUACAAGAGUGUUUGAAGCGACUUUUAGUAAUUUAUAAUGAAGUAAAUGAAAAAGAAAUAUUAAAAAAUCGUGCUGAAAUGGAAACAAUUUAUAUUCUUCAUAAUCUUGGAUCAGCAGAAGCUCUAAAUCAUAGUUUGCAUCUUCCAUCUGACGUGAGAUCAGAUCCAAAAGUGAAAUUAGCCGUUGAAAUUAGUUUAGCUUAUAAACAUUGGAAUUUUAUCAGAAUGUUACGUUCAUUCAGGAAACUUCCUUUCCUGAUAUUCUGUUCAGUAUAUCAACACUUAGAAAAAAUUAGGAGACAUUCGUUGGAAGUAAUAAAUGUUGCUUAUAGUUCAAAAAAUUGCCAGUUUCCUAUCAAAGUAUUAAAAGAAUGGUUAAUGUAUAAUGAUGAAGAUGCAGUUAAAAUAGCAUGUAAUCAUUAUGGGUUGUCUAAUAAUGGAAAAUUUAUAUGCUUCUUGAAAAGUUCUUAUGAUUCUCAAGUUAAGACUCUUCAUCCUGUUAAGGAAUAUGUACUUCAAGAAAAAGCAAAGACAAUUGAUUUGGUUUCAGUCUUAAAUGGAGUUUCUUGAUUAUUAUUAUACACGACAGUCUAAAAUACUAAGAGAGUUCAAUUUACCGGGGAGAAGGGCUGCCCAGAAACAAAUCUUAACUAAUAGUAACACGAUUGACUGUUUAGGCUUUGCCUAUCAACAUCUUCAUUGGACCAAGGAAUGGGAAACUGUGAGGUUGAAAAAAUUUUUUCCCGUGAUGAAAGUGGAGUUGUUUGGGUUUAUCGGCCUCGAGAUGAGAGGCACAAUAGCAAAUAUGUAUGCCCAAGGAAAAGAAGCGGAAGAUUCUCAGUAGCCACUCUGAUGUCAGUCAGUAACAAUUCAUGGCCAAUACGUUUCAAGCAGGCGUGACUUAAAACAAUGUCCAAUCAACUAACUGAAAGAUAGUAUGUCUAAUAUCUUUUAACGAAUUAUGUUCGAAGAAAUACACCGUAGGGUGUUUCUUCGAACCAGUACAGAUGAAUAUAGACACCCUUGUCCCAGGUUUAAUCUGAAAAGAGCUUUAGGUGGGCUACCACAAUGUCGCGACGUUUUUGUUUUGUGUGUAUUGUUUUAUAUUAUUAUUGUAAUUUGUAAAUGUUUUAUCAUUUCUUAUUUGUUAAUC
rnacentral:misc_RNA from 1 species